UCUCUUUGUUUACAUAGAUUUUCCAUGAAUCCUGAGGCACACACUAUGCCACCACUGAAUUCUGAAAUCUAUUCUAAUGCCACCUUUCUUUUUAGUUAUUUACAGGAUGUCCAUAUUUUGCUGCACAAACCAUGCAUGGCAAAAGCAGCACAAUUGAUUUUCUGCCCAUAUAGCAACCUAAUUAGUCCAAUUGUCAGGAGAGCAAUGGACAUUGAUAUCAUUGGCUCAAUUGUUAUUCUUGAUGAAGCGCAGUAAGCCCCUGAGUCUGCAGACUCAUGAUUCUUUUUCAGUGUCAUUCAAUGGUUUCCUUAGUUGCAAGACAACGGCUCCCUAUGUUACCGAUCCGGUGUUGCUGUGCGUGAGGACGGACAUGGGGAAGGUGCAACAAGGCAGCGCUCAAGUUGCAGUGGAGUGGAGUCGACCAUCACUACUGACCGCUGCUCGGCGAUCCUCGCCCCUCACCCCCCAUCUAGAUGUGGUUAGGAACUAAAUCGACAAGCAUCGAUAUUUUUGUUAGGAAGGAGCGCUAGGAGCCUAGGAGUGGAACACGAUUUCCUCGAAUCUAGCCGAGGCCUCUGCUUUUUUCGUCAUCUUCCAUCGGUCCAAGCUGCUAUUGUUCGCUCCGUCGGCUUGCAGUUGCUUCUGGAGCGUGCUUCAGAUUCAUUGUGCCUCCUUCCAAUAUAAAUGUUUGUGCUGAAGUGGUAGCCAAGACAAACGCAGUAAUCGAAUCAAGAAAUUAGAUGAUAGGACCGAAGAUUGGGGACAAAAUAACUCAAACCAACAGACCAACCAUGAGGGUUCUAUAUAUACGACAAACGAGUAGUUGACAAAAUGAGGUGCUAAGAAAACUUGAGGUUCAUGAUUUGCUCUUGGAUCAAACUGAAAAUUAAUUUCAGUUGAAGAAUUAGUAGCAUGUAUCCUCUGAUUACCAACAGGGAAGAACUGCUCCAGUCGAAGAGCAGACAUUAUUCAUUGUGCCAACAGACUGCCUGGAAAGGAAGAAAUCGUAUGAAGUACAUCAGCACCCAUCUUAUCACCAGUUGGGGGAUUGUUUUUUCUCUCCUCGUCAACAAAGCUUGCAUCAGGCGGUCGGGUCGGAGAGAGAGACUUACCUGGAGCUGUACAAUCACACAGGAGAGGGUGGAGGGGCUCAUGGCGGCGGCGAGGCAACAGGAGGAGGGAGGGGCCCGGUGUCGCCGACGAGCAUGCCAAGCUCGAGCGCCUCCUCGAGCACUUAGGCGACUGGAUUCGAAGAAGGAGCAGGGCAGAGGAGAGGCGUGGAGUCCUGCGCCUCCGCGUCCGCCUCCGAUGGAGCCUAGAGCGCGCUGGCGCGAGCAUGCCGAGCUCGAGGGCCUUCUCGGCCACUUCUGCGGCCAGAUUCGACAUGAGGAGGGGGGAUCAGUGGCUGUGAAUCUCGCUGACCGCCGGCUAUGGAGGGAGGGAGCUGGUGAUGGGAGAAAUGGGGAAUGGGGGAGAUGUGACGGGCGGUGGAGAGGAUGACUGCUGGUUUUUCAGUACUACUGUAUUAGGAAGUGACAAGAGCUUGUCAAUUAGUGGGAAUGGAUUCGUAGGCGGUGGGAAUGGAUUCUGGACGGCUGGACCCAAACAAAUUUUCUUUAUCUUCUACAAAUAAAAAGAAUCGAUUAUUUCUUCCAAACAAUCCAUUAUAUUUUAUCAGACGUGCCUCA